CCCUUUGUGGUGUACGGUAGUUGGUAUCACACCCGGCUGCAAUAUUCAGAUCACCGGUUGGUCGCCAGUUCGACUCUGGUCGAAGUGA